rnacentral:rRNA from 1 species
AAUAGAUACCCCGGUAGUCCACGCCGUAAACGAUGAGUGCUAAGUGUUAGAGGGUUUCCGCCCUUUAGUGCUGAAGUUAACGCAUUAAGCACUCCGCCUGGGGGAGUACGGCCGCAAGGCUGAAACUCAAAGGAAUUGACGGGGGCCCGCACAAGCGGUGGAGCAUGUGGUUUAAUUCGAAGCAACGCGAAGAACCUUACCAGGUCUUGACAUCCUCUGACAACCCUAGAGAUAGGGCUUCUCCUUCGGGAGCAGAGUGACAGGUGGUGCAUGGUUGUCGUCAGCUCGUGUCGUGAGAUGUUGGGUUAAGUCCCGCAACGAGCGCAACCCUUGAUCUUAGUUGCCAUCAUUAAGUUGGGCACUCUAAGGUGACUGCUGGUGACAAACCGGAGGAAGGUGGGGAUGACGUCAAAUCAUCAUGCCCCGUUAUGACCUGGGCUACACACGUGCUACAAUGGACGGUACGAAGAGCUGCAAGACCGCGAGGUGGAGCUAAUCUCAUAAAACCCGUUCUCAGUUCGGA